rnacentral:rRNA from 1 species
UGAUAUGAAGAGCUUGCUCGGAUUUGAAGAUGAACAUUGCAAAGAGUGGCGAACGGGUGAGUAACACGUGGGAAACCUACCUCUUAGCGGGGGAUAACACUUGGAAACAAGUGCUAAUACCGCAUAAUACUGAUAACCGCAUGGUUAUCAGUUGAAAGAUGGUUCUGCUAUCACUAAGAGAUGGUCCCGCGGUGUAUUAGCUAGUUGGUAAGGUAAUGGCUUACCAAGGCAAUGAUACAUAGCCGAGUUGAGAGACUGAUCGGCCACAAUGGGACUGAGACACGGCCCAUACUCCUACGGGAGGCAGCAGUAGGGAAUCUUCCACAAUGGACGAAAGUCUGAUGGAGCAACGCCGCGUGUGUGAUGAAGGGUUUCGGCUCGUAAAACACUGUUGUAAGAGAAGAAUGACAUUGAGAGUAACUGUUCAGUGUGUGACGGUAUCUUACCAGAAAGGAACGGCUAAAUACGUGCCAGCAGCCGCGGUAAUACGUAUGUUCCAAGCGUUAUCCGGAUUUAUUGGGCGUAAAGCGAGCGCAGACGGUUGUUUAAGUCUGAAGUGAAAGCCCACAGCUUAACUGUGGAAGUGCUUUGGAAACUGGAUAACUUGAGUGCAGUAGAGGAGAGUGGAACUCCAUG